rnacentral:rRNA from 1 species
UAGGGAAUCUUCCGCAAUGGACGCAAGUCUGACGGAGCAACGCCGCGUGAGUGAAGAAGGAUUUCGGUUCGUAAAACUCUGUUGUUAGAGAAGAACAGCGCAUAGAGUAACUGUUAUGCGUGUGACGGUAUCUAACCAGAAAGCCACGGCUAACUACGUGCCAGCAGCCGCGGUAAUACGUAGGUGGCAAGCGUUGUCCGGAUUUAUUGGGCGUAAAGCGAGCGCAGGCGGUCAAUUAAGUCUGAUGUGAAAGCCCCCGGCUCAACCGGGGAGGGUCAUUGGAAACUGGUUGACUUGAGUGCAGAAGAGGAGAGUGGAAUUCCAUGUGUAGCGGUGAAAUGCGUAGAUAUAUGGAGGAACACCAGUGGCGAAGGCGACUCUCUGGUCUGUAACUGACGCUGAGGUUCGAAAGCGUGAGUAGCAAACAGG